rnacentral:pre_miRNA from 1 species
AAUAAAUCAAUCUUUCACUUUUUAUCUAUAAUGUUUGACUCUUUGUCUUAUUUGAAAAAAAUUACGAUUAAUAUUUUUAUUUUUGUUAGAUGAUAAAUCGUGAAUAGUAUUUUAUGCGCGACUAUAUUUUUUUAAUUUCUUGAAAUUUUUUAAAUAAAACGAAUGGUCAGACGCUUUACACAGAAACAAAAG